CUCGUCCCAUUACAAUGUCUACAUCCAUCGUAGUGAUACAAUUGUAAAAUUUUCAUUAAUACUUCAUAAGAGACAAAAAAGAAAGGCAAAAUAUUAUUAAAAAAAGUUUUGUUGGAAAUCCCCCAAAACCUAUGAAGAAUUUCAAUCAAUCUUGAUGAACUAGAUUGUUAUCGCCCACACAAUAAAAAUGAAAAAAGAAGAACAAUGGAGAAAGAAAGAAAGUAAAGAACGAUGAAGGAGAAGAGUAAUAUAAUUCUGCAGAGUUU
rnacentral:lncRNA from 1 species